UUGGUUUCAGGCAGAACACUUUUGGGUUCCAUGUAGAACCCUCUGUAAAAAGGGCUCUACAUAGAACCCAACGGGGUUCUGCCUGACACCCAAAAGGUUUCUUCAAAUGGUUCUUCUAUGGUACAGUCAAAGAACCUCUGUAGGUUCUAGAUCGCACAAUUUUUAAAAAUAAUUUUAUGAAUUAUACAGGGAGAAACUCAGAGGGUCUUGAGCAUUUGUCAUCUCUCUUUCAUCUUCAACUCACCACAACAAUCAGCAAUCAGCAAAGUGAUUCAAGGAGGCAGCAAGCGACGUCAUGCAAGCAGAGUUGAGCCAAUCCUCACAUUUGGGCAAAUCCAAGAGCCCUAAAGUGUAACCCCCCCCCACCACCACUCAAUCGCACAAUCAUGUCCGUCAUCGCUCUACCACCACCUCCUGAUGAGGACAAACAUCCUUGGCUAGAAAGCAGGUACACCAUCUUAAGAAGUAUGGAGAACUGACAGCAAACACACUGAAGAGAAAACAUACCCCUGACACUCCCUCCACCAUCAAGCAGAGCACAUUACUGAAGGCAGUGUCUCAAAAAUCCAUUGGCAAAGCUGUGGUGAAGUAUGUGGUCCAAGGUCUCCAACCAUUUGCUGUUGUAGAACAAAAACUGUUCAGAGAGUUAGUGCAGGAUCUGCAGCCUAACUCAAAGAUAAUAUCAAGGCCCACACUGCGCUCCAGGAUUGAUGAAGCAUCCAAGGAAAUGAAGAAGAAGGUGACUGAGGCCAUGAGGAGUUGACCACAUCGCCAUCACCACCGACUGUUGGUCUGCAAGAAGUUUCAUUGUUGUUACAGCCCAUUGGAUAGACCCUGACAGUCUCAACAGAUGCUCUGUAUCCCUGGCCUGCAAACAGUUGAGAGGAUCGCAAACAUUUGAUGUGUUGUCAGGUGCCCUAAAUGACAUACAUUCUGAGUUUGAAAUCCGGAGUAAGAUUGUAAGAACAAGAACAGACAAUGGCUCUAACUUCUUGAAAGCUUUCCAAGUUUAUGGAGCAGAUGAAAAUAACGAGGCAGUCGAAGCAGUGGGUGGUGGGGGUGAAGCAGCUCAGCCAGGACAGGACGAUGGUGAAGAGGAACAAUAGGAGAUUGAAGAAGUGAAGUUUGUUGAUGUGGCAACGAUCCUGAAUGAAGGUGAUGGUUUUGAGUACCAGCUGCCGAAGCACCAGCGUUGUGCUUGCCACUUACUCAACUUAGCAUCUAAAGGCAAUUCCCUAAAAGUAACAUCCAGCGAGGCUUACAAAAAAGUGUCCUGUUCAACAUCUGGCAAGUGCCAAGCACUUUGGAACAAACGCGGGAGAUCCACACUUGCAGCCGAAACCAUUGAAGAUACUUGGAACCUCCAGCUGCUGCGUCUGAAUGCUACAAGGUGCAACUCCUGGUUCAUGGCUGUAGAAAGACCCCUGAGGAUCGUCAAAGACAAAGGAGAGGCGGCCGUCAGAGGUCUCUGCACAGACUUCAAGGUUCCAAUCUGAACUCCCCUGCCUCACAGAAGAUGUUGCCACAAUGAGCCCAGUCGUAAAGGUCAUCAACAUCUGCAGGCUGAAACCAAUUUCCAGAUGCGGUGGCUACUUCCAACUAUCAACCUGCUGAUCACAAAAGUUGACCGAAUCAAGGAUGACACCACCAUCAAAAUGAGAAUGAACUACAUCAAGGACCACAUGGAAGAAUCCUUGCUGCAGCUAGGCGAUGGCACAAGUUCACCAGAUGAGACUGUAAGACUGUUACCUUUCAGAAAAACUCAAGCUCUAAUCAAAUAAAAGGUCUGGCUGUUUUGCUUUUUGGA